GCGAUAACGAACGAGACCUCGACCUGCUAAAUAGUUCUAGUCAUCUUCUGAUGGCUGGAUACUUCUUAGAGGGACUAUCGGUGGUUAGCCGAUGGAAGUUCGAGGCAAUAACAGGUCUGUGAUGCCCUUAGAUGUUCUGGGCUGCACGCGCGCUACACUGAUACGUUCAUCGAGCUCCUACCUUGACUGGAAAGUCUGGGUAAUCUUAUCAACGCGUAUCGUGAUGGGGAUAGAUUAUUGUAAUUUUUGAUCUUCAACGAGGAAUUCCUAGUAAACGCGCGUCAUUAACGCGCAUUGAUUACGUCCCUGCCCUUUGUACACACCGCCCGUCGCUAAUACCGAUUGAAUGGAUA
rnacentral:rRNA from 1 species